AUACGGAAGGUCCGGGCGUUAUCCGGAUUUAUUGGGUUUAAAGGGAGCGUAGGCGGGAUGUUAAGCGUGCUGUGAAAAGCUGCGGCUCCACCGCAGUCGUGCAGCGCGAACUGGCUUUCUUGAGUGCGCGGAAGGCAUGCGGAAUUCGUGGUGUAGCGGUGAAAUGCUUAGAUAUCACGAGGAACUCCGAUUGCGAAGGCAGCAUGCCGCAGCGCUACUGACGCUGAAGCUCGAAGGUGCGGGUAUCGAACAGGAUUAGAUACCCUGGUAGUCCGCACGGUAAACGAUGGAUGCCCGCUGUGCGCCCUUUGUGGUGCGUGGCCAAGCGAAAGCGUUAAGCAUCCCACCUGGGGAGUACGCCGGCAACGGUGAAACUCAAAGGAAUUGACGGGG
rnacentral:rRNA from 1 species